AUGUUGACCCCUCCCAGAAGAGCAACAAAAGAAUCAGCUGUUUCCUGCCCCGCCCAAGCGGCUCUGGGAGACUCUGAGGCUGCCAGUCUCCACCGGGGCAGAAGGAGCAAGGACGUCUUUCAGCGCGCGCAAAGUUUGCUGGAGUUGCAGGACAGAGAUGCACUUGGCCUGGGUGCAGGAGACGGCAGAGGAAUCAGGUCUGCAGGUAGAGGCUGUCCAGAGCACUUGGUUUUCUUGUUGCUGCUCUUUAUGUUCUGCAUUCCACCCUCUCCUCAGAUCCAUGGUUUGCAAAUCAUUUUGCCUUUUCCUUCCUUUGAUAUGCUCUUUGGUGCACAGUUUUAAAUUUUGAUGUAGC
ensembl:lincRNA